GAUAUGGACAGAAUUGAAAGUUAGGCAUAUUUACAUUUGUUUCCGCUUCGUUUUCCAGAAAGCAUUUGAUAAUCAUGUCAAAUGGAAAUCUUCUCACCGAUUGAGCCAGCCUUUAUCAUCAUCAUCUUAGUGCUUGCUCGACGAUUUGCUCUACUUUGUUGGAGUCAAGAACUUGAUUUUGAUUAAUCUGGUAUUACAACUCGACACUUUCUCCAAUUCGACUUGAAGACGAUUGAAGCUGCAAAUAAAUUUGCAAUGACUAAAAAGCUAGGUCAAGGUGGAUUCGGCGAAGUUUUCUAGUGGAACAGAAGUUGCAGUGAAGAGGCUAUCAAAAACAUCAGAGCAAGGCGCAGACAAGGUCAAGAACGAGGUUGUUGUUGUUGCAAAACUUCAUCAUAGGAAUCUCGUAAGGCUUCUAGGAUUUUGUUUGGAAGGCAAAGAAAAAAAAAAUACUUGUUUUCCCAAACAAGAGCCUUGAUUGCUUCCUAUUUGAUUAGUAGAAUGAGCAUUUGAUAUACAUGCAUGGGCUUCUAUCUGAUUUUUGGGAUGGGCCAAAAUCGAGCUGAAAUACGCAGGAUAGUUGGGACACGGUAUAUGCAUAUUACCCUUGAUAUGGUCUAUCUACAGAAGCUUCAAGAAUUUUUUCUUGGCCAGUAAUGUACAAAAGUGUGAUAGUAUAUAUCCGAAAAUGUUGCUUCUGUUUUGCUA